rnacentral:lncRNA from 10 species
AGUUUCUUUGCCUAACUCUGAGUUGCUUGAGUCACAUUUUUGCAUGGUUCUUGAUUGACUUUCUGGUGCUCUGCCUGGAGGUCUUUGCUUAUCUGUGAGUUGCCUGAGUCACAUUUUUACAUGGUUCUGGUGCUCUGCCUGCAGGUCAAGAAGGAGCCAGUAUCUCCAGGAGGAGUGAGAGAGUGCUCUGCCAGUGUGAAGUGUGAAUCCUUGAGAGGCUGUGGCAAGGGUCCAUGCCUGAAUGUGUAGAACAAGAACAGCUGGAGGCUGUGGCUUUCUCCAGGAAGAGGUUUCUAAAUCUGCCUCUUAGAAGAUAUCAGAAAGUUAAAGUUUCUCUUGCUGCCGCCGUGUAAGAAGGACCUUUUGCCUCCCACCAUGAUUCUAAGUCCUCCCCAGCCACGUGGAACUAGCCAAGUAAUCUAAGAAAGGCAGAAUGACAGCUAGCCUGGGAAAUGGAAUAACAUCACUUCUGUCACAUUCCAUUGGCCAAACAUAUCAAACUUGAUACAGCAUGAGAGGGGACUAUACAAGAAUGUGGAUACCAGGAAAUGAGGAUCAGUGGGGACCAGCUUGGAGGCUGACAACAACAGGAGAUGAUAAUGAAUAGUGAAAAAUGCCAAGCAGACAAUAAGCAGAAGGAACAGAGGAAAUCCACAAACUGGAUAAUUGUUUCUUGAGUAACUGACCAUCAAUCUAGAUAGUGGUUGCAGUAAUUUCAAAUUCUUCUCUUCCUUUUCACUUCAGGCUUUCAUUUGGUCUCUUUUCGAAUCAGAAGACCCAGAAAACUUGGAUCCACUUCUGGCUCUCAUCCCUCUGGGCAGUGUGAUUUGGAUUGAGCAGAUGCUCCGGCUGCCACUCCAUCAUAUAUUGGAAACAGCAUUACUUUAUAGUAAAUCAUGACCACGGUGUAUGGCAAUGAAGUUGCAUCUGAAGCAGCCGGCACCCUAUGUGCUAGCUGGCUUUUAGACCAGGAGACUGUGAAUCUGUGGUCAGGAUCUCUUUAGGGCUGCUAAAUAUAUACUACCCACUAUCACUCGCUGGAGCUGCAGACCCUAGUUUUAGAGUUUCACUUCUUAAAGACCUUCAUCCUUAUUAAAAUGGUAAUAUCCUUACUGUCAUCAAUCACUGACACAUUGGUAUGAGUGAGUUUGAGUCUGGUUUGAAGAGUAGGUUUACUGGAGGAGGAGGCUCACAGGGAAGCUGGGAGGGAACCCACAGCUACUCUGCAGAGAAGGAGAGAGGGAGGUGAGGUGUGGAGGCAAGGGGAAGAGAGGGUGGCUAUACUAACAGUCUCCUGGCUAGAGAGGAGGAUUGGACCAUUUUGCAUUCUUUUUUUUUUUUU